rnacentral:tRNA from 10 species
GGCCUUGGGGUGUCAACACGUGGGGUUGCAAACCCCAAGAUGCAGUAUAAUACCUGCCGGGGCUU